GACGAACGCUGGCGGCGUGCUUAACACAUGCAAGUCGAACGGAAAGGCCCUGCUUUUGUGGGGUGCUCGAGUGGCGAACGGGUGAGUAACACGUGAGUAACCUGCCCUUGACUUUGGGAUAACUUCAGGAAACUGGGGCUAAUACCGGAUAGGAGCUCCUGCUGCAUGGUGGGGGUUGGAAAGUUUCGGCGGUUGGGGAUGGACUCGCGGCUUAUCAGCUUGUUGGUGGGGUAGUGGCUUACCAAGGCUUUGGCGGGUAGCCGGCCUGGGAGGGUGACCGGCCACAUUGGGACUGAGGUACGGCGCAGAGUGCUACGGGGGGCAGCAGUGGGGAAUAUUGUACAAUGGGCGGAAGCCUGAGGAAGCAACGCCGCGUGCGGGAUGACGGCCUUCGGGUUGUAAACCGCUUUCGCCUGUGACGAAGCGUGAGUGACGGUAAUGGGUAAAGAAGCACCGGCUAACUACGUG
rnacentral:rRNA from 1 species